UACGUAGGGUGCAAGCGUUGUCCGGAAUUAUUGGGCGUAAAGAGCUCGUAGGCGGUUUGUCGCGUCUGCUGUGAAAACUCAGGGCUUAACCCUGAGCCUGCAGUGGGUACGGGCAGACUAGAGUGUGGUAGGGGAGAUCGGAAUUCCUGGUGUAGCGGUGGAAUGCGCAGAUAUCAGGAGGAACACCGAUGGCGAAGGCAGGUCUCUGGGCCAUUACUGACACUGAGAAGCGAAAGCAUGGGGAGCGAACAGG
rnacentral:rRNA from 1 species